GAAAUGCGAUACGUAAUGUGAAUUGCAGAAUUCAGUGAAUCAUCGAAUCUUUGAACGCACCUUGCGCCCCUUGGUAUUCCGAGGGGCACACCCGUUUGAGUGUCGUGAAAUUCUCAAACCUUCUUGGUCUCUCGAUCAAGAUGGCUUUGGACUUGGAGGCGUUUGCUGGCUUUGCGAAAAGCCAGCUCCUCUUAAAUGCAUUAGUGGGGUCCCCUUUGCCGAUCCCGAGGCGUGAUAAGUCAUUUCUACGUCUUGGGAUUUGCUCUGUUCCUUGGGAACCCGCUUCUAACCGUCUCACGGGAGACAUCGUUCGAGCUUGCUCGACCCACGAACCUUGACCUCAAAUCGGGUGAGACUACCAGCUGAACUUAA
rnacentral:misc_RNA from 1 species